rnacentral:rRNA from 1 species
UACAGAGGGGGGCAAGCGUUGCUCGGAAUUACUGGGCGUAAAGGGCGCGUAGGCGGCCGCCUAAGUCGAACGUGAAAUCCCCGGGCUCAACCCGGGAACUGCGUCCGAUACUGGGUGGCUUGAAUUCGGGAGAGGGAUGCGGAAUCCAGGUGGAGCGGUGAAAUGCGUUGAUAUCCUAAGAAACACCGGUGGCGAAAGCGGCUCACUGGAUCUCUUCUGACGCUGAGGCACGGAAAGCUAGGGUAGCGAACGGG